rnacentral:lncRNA from 1 species
AAUAUUUAUUUUAUAAUAAGCAUAAUUUUUUAAAAUAAUUAUAACAAAAGCUAUAUGGUAGAAACAUAUUCGUAUAGUACCACUACCUAUCACUUAUAAUUUUUUUUUUUUCUUAAAUAAUAAUACUUAUUUUAUAUUAAGCACCAUUUUCUAAAAUGACUAUAACAAAACGUAUAUGGUCGAAACAUAUUCCUAGUACUAUUCUUAUCAUAUAUAUAUAUUUUUUUUUUUUUUUUUUUUUUACAUUGGUACUACUAUUAUCAAACUUUUUGAUAUAAAUUUAUUCACUCCUUCUUUUUUAAUUCUAAAGUGCUUUUUUUUUUUUUUAUAAGAAUCGUUUUUAGUAAAUAUAUUUUUUUUUAUUGUUUACAUUGCUAGUACCUUUUUUUAUAACUUUGUACGUCAUUAUUUUAAUAUUUAAAAAAAUAAUUGUUUUAUUGUUUUAUUGUUUUAUUGUUUUAUUAAUAAAACAAAAUUAAUUAGAUAACUAUAAAAUUUAUAUUAUUAAAAAUAUAUAAAUUUAAAUAUAACUAAAAAAAUAUAGAUUAAUCUGGAAUAAUAUAUAAUUAUAUAAAAAAUCCAUAGGUAACUUAUAAAAAUAAUUGAAAAAAAUUCAACAACGUCAUUACUACAUCACAAUUUAUGAUACAAAAAUGAUUACCACAAUUUAUAAAACAAUUAUUAUUUUUUUUUCCUAUGGAGGUGGACUAAUAACAUCAAGGCUAGCAAUGAAAAUAUACUUAGAGUAGAAUAUAGUAGAUCAUUGAGUGAACUUGAAAUUUCUUCUGACGAAUCCAGUGUUCAAACUGCUGUAGCAGAUAUUAAAAAUGAUAAAAGUAAUGAAAUUAGUACUAAUGUCGAAACUGUCGAAAAAAAUAAAAUUCAUAAAAUUGUAGAACCUGUUGAAAGUAAAAAAAAUGAUAAAAAUAAAGAACAACCUGAUAAUGAUGACGAUGAUGAUGAAUUUGCUCAUAUUGUUGAAAAUGCUUUAAGUAGUGAAAAUGCUGCUAAAGUUAAAAAAAAUUGAUAAUACUGAAUAUCUUGAAAAUAUAAAAGUCUUGGAAAGUGAUGAAUUUAA